GGUGAGGUCGCAUAGUGGUCGAGUGCACCCGUCUCGAAAGCGGGAGAGUGUAACAGCUUCGUGGGUUCGAAUCCCACCCUCACCG
rnacentral:tRNA from 1 species